GGUGAACGCUGGCGGCGGGCCUAAUACAUGCAAGUCGAACGCUGAAAGAAUGAGCUUGCUCUUUCCGGAUUAGUUGCUAACGGGUGAGUAACGCGUAGAUAACCUUCCUGGUAGCGGGGGAGAACUAUUGGAAACGAUAUCUAAUACCACAUAACAGGAGAUGUGGCAUGAUAUCUACUUAAAAGGUGCAAUGCCACCACUACCAGACGGAUCUGCGUUGUAUUAGCUAGUUGGGGAGGUGACGGCCCACCAAGGCGACGAUACAUAGCCGACCUGAGAGGGUGAUCGAGCACAACGGGAACGGGACAACGGCCCGGAUCCUAAGGGAGGCAGGCGGAGGGGAAUAUUGGACAUGGACGGAAGUCUGGCCGAGCCAAGCCCGGGGAGGUGAGAAGGGUUUCGGAUCGUUAAGGUCUGUUGGAUGAGAAGAAAGAGUGUGAGAGUGGAACGUCCACGCUGUGACGGUACCUAAAGAGAAAGGAACGGCUAACUACGUG
rnacentral:rRNA from 1 species